CCUACGUGAGGCAGCAGUGAGGAAUAUUGGUCAAUGGGCGGGAGCCUGAACCAGCCAAGUCGCGUGAGGGAAGACGGUCCUAUGGAUUGUACACCUCUUUAGGCGGGGAGCAAUGCCGGGCACGCGUGCCCGGAGGGAGAGUACCCGCAUAAUAAGCAUCGGCUAACUCCGUGCCCGCAGCCGCGGUAAUACGGGGGAUGCGAGCGUUAUCCGGAUUUAUUGGGUUUACAGGGUGCGGAGGCGGAUUUUUAAGUCAGCGGUAAAAUGUCCGGGCUCAACCCGGGCCGGCCGUUGAAACUGGUGAUCUUGAGUGGGCGAGAAGUAUGCGGAAUGCGUGGUGUAGCGGUGAAAUGCAUAGAUAUCACGCAGAACUCCGAUUGCGAAGGCAGCAUACCGGCGCCCGACUGACGCUGAGGCACGAAAGCGUGGGGAUCGAACAGGAUUAGAUACCCCAGUAGUC
rnacentral:rRNA from 1 species